ensembl:lncRNA
AUGACCGUUUGCUUUCCUUGAUGGAAAUUUCUCUGGAAGCAGAGGCCCACGUGUUUAGUCAAUUAUCCCCAGCACAUAAGAAGUGGCUAAAAAAAUGCCUCCUUAAAUGAAAUAAAAUAAGCAAAGGAAUGGCUACAAUACUUAAAGGUGGUCACAAACUUUUGUAUCUUAUCAAAAAUUUUAAUAAAAUCUACAAAUUUCAUUAACUACCAACACAGAACAAUUCCUUGGGAGAAAGAAAUAUUAAGACACCUAGCCUUAAGAUGACCUGACAAAGCAUAGUAAUAUACAAAAGAUCACGCAUGCAUGGCAACAGAUCUCUGUUUGGAAGAAGCGACCUAUAAUUUAUAACACAAUAAUUUUACAUGUGGUCCUUGAUUCAUUAAAACACUAAAGCUCAGGUUUAAGUGUUUCUCCCUGUAUUUGAUGAGACAGGCACUCUUUUCACAAAGAAUCUUAGCUUUACAUGACUGAAAUGAGUGAAUUUAUUUGCCUAAUGCACUAAUAAUUCUUUUUAACUUAUGGUUUCUUUCAUCCCAUUACAGUUUAGUCACUCAGUCAGGUCUGACUCUUUGCGACCCCAUGGACUGCAGCACGCCAGGCCUCUCUGUCCAUCACUAACUUCUGGAGCUUUCUCAAACUCAUGUCCAUCGAGUUGGUGAUGCCAUCCAACCAUCUGAUCCUCUGUCGCCCCCUUCUCCUCCCACCUUCAAUCUUUCCCAGCAUCAGGGUCUUUUCCAAUGAGUCACUUCUUCGCAUCAGGUGGCCAAAUAUUUUCCAAAGAAGUUUCAGCUUCAGCAUCAGUCCUUCCAAUGAACAAAAAGGACUAAUUUCCUUUAGGAUGGACUGGUUAGAUCUCCUUGCAGUCCAAGAGACUCUCAGGAGUCUUCUCUAACACCACAGUUCAAAAGAAUCAAUUCUUCAGCUUUCUUUAUAGUCCAACUCUCACAUCCAUACGUGACUACUGGAAAAACCAUAGUUUUGACUAGACGGACCUUUCUUGGCAAAAUAAUGUCUCUGCUUUUUAGUAUGCUCUCUAGUUUGGUCAUAACUUUUCUUCCAAGGAGCAAGCGUCUUUUAAAUAUUUCAUGGCUAGUCACCAUCUGCAGUGAUUUUGGAGCCCCCCAAAAUAAUGUCUGUAACUGUUUCCACUGUUUCCCCAUCCACUAGCCAUGAAGUGAUGGGACAAGAUGCCAUGAUCUUAGGUUUCUAAAUGUUGAGUUUUAAGCCAACUUUUUCACUUUUCUUUUUCACUUUCGUUAAGAGUCUCUUUAGUUCUUCACUUUCUG